rnacentral:rRNA from 1 species
UGUAUGGAGCGAGGUUAAGCAGGAUAUGCGGAGCCGAAGCGAAAGCGAGUCUUAAGAGGGCGAGAGUUGCAUGCAGUAGACCCGAAACCGGGUGAUCUAGCCAUGACCAGGUUGAAGUUGGGGUAAAACCCGAUGGAGGACCGAACCGACCCCCGUUGAAACGUUGGCGGAUGAGUUGUGGCUAGGGGUGAAAUUCCAAUCGAACCCGGAGAUAGCUGGUUCUCCCCGAAAUAGCUUUAGGGCUAGCGUCGAGGUAAGUUGCGUGAAGGUAGAGCACUGAAUAUGUGAUGGCCCCAUCUCGGGGUACUGAGCAUAAUCAAACUGCGAAUGUCACGCCAACAUGCUCGGCAGUCAGACAGCGGGUGAUAAGGUCCGUUGUCAAGAGGGAAACAGCCCAGACCAUCAGCUAAGGUCCCAAAAUGUAUGCUAAGUGGAAAAGGAUGUGGAGAUGUACAGACAACUAGGAGGUUGGCUCAGAAGCAGCCAUCCUUUAAAGAGUGCGUAACAGCUCACUAGUCGAAUGACUCUGCGCCGAUAAUUUACCGGGGCUAAGCAUACUACCGAAGCUAUGGAUCCCAAGGGAUGGUAGGGGAGCGUUCCAUGAACGGAGAAGUACGACCGAAAGGACGUGUGGAGAUCAUGGAAGAGAGAAUGCCGGUGUGAGUAGCGGAACGUGGGUGAGAAUCCCACGCACCGAAAACCCAAGGUUUCCAGAGGAAGGUUCGUCCGCUCUGGGUAAGUCGGGACCUAAGGCGAGGCCGAAAGGCGUAGUCGAUGGACAACAGGUAGAGAUUCCUGUACCCGUAUAUAUGUGAAGGAAUGACGGAGAGAGGAAGCUGCAGCCAGCGGCUGGAAGAGCUGGUGCAAGCGAGAUAUCGGGAUGGCAGGCAAAUCCACCAUCCGAAACGAGAAGGCGUGAAGCGUACGGAAAGCUACGGCGAGUACGGAAGGCAGUGGAGGAACUUCCAAGAAAAGUUUCUAACGUUAAGUAUAUAUGGCCCGUACCGAAAAUGGACACACAUGGGUGAGGAGAGAAUCCUAAGGUGAGCGAGAGAACUAUAGCUAAGGAACUCUGCAAAAUGACUCCGUAACUUAGGGAGAAGGAGUGCUCAUAGAGAUAUGAGCCGCAGUGAAACGGCCCAAGCGACUGUUUACCAAAAACACAGCUCUCUGCUAAGCCGCAAGGCGAAGUAUAGGGGGUGACGCCUGCCCGGUGCUGGAAGGUUAAGGGGAGGGGUUAACGCAAGUGAAGCCCUGAACUGAAGCCCCAGUAAACGGCGGCCGUAACUAUAACGGUCCUAAGGUAGCGAAAUUCCUUGUCAGGUAAGUUCUGACCCGCACGAAAGGCGUAACGAUUUGGGCGCUGUCUCAGCUGUAGACUCGGUGAAGUCUUAGUACCUGUGAAGAUGCAGGUUACCCGCGACUAGACGGAAAGACCCCAUGGAGCUUCACUGCAGGUUGAUAUUGGGAUUUGAUGCAGCAUGUACAGGAUAGGUAGGAGGCAAAGAGAUGGAUACGCCAGUAUUCAAGGAGCCGCUGUUGGGAUACUACCCCUGUUGUAUUGGAUUUCUAACCGGACGACGUAGAGCCGUUGACGGGACAGUGUCAGUCGGGCAGUUUGACUGGGGCGGUCGCCUCCCAAAGAGUAACGGAGGCGCCCAAAGAUACCCUCAGCUUGGAUGGAAACCAAGCGCAGAGUGCAAAGGCAAAAGGGUGUUUGACUGCGAGACCCACAAGUCGAGCAGGGACGAAAGUCGGGCUUAGUGAUCCGGCGGUGCUGAAUGGAAAGGCCGUCGCUCAACGGAUAAAAGCUACCCUGGGGAUAACAGGCUGAUCUCCCCCAAGAGUUCACAUCGACGGGGAGGUUUGGCACCUCGAUGUCGGCUCAUCGCAUCCUGGAGCUGAAGUCGGUUCCAAGGGUUGGGCUGUUCGCCCAUUAAAGCGGUACGCGAGCUGGGUUCAGAACGUCGUGAGACAGUUCGGUCCCUAUCUGUCGUGGGCGCAGGAAAUUUGAGAAGAGCUGUCCUCAGUACGAGAGGACCGGGAUGGACGCAUCAAUGGUGGACCAGUUGUCACGCCAGUGGCAUAGCUGGGUAGCUAAAUGCGGAAGGGAUAAACGCUGAAGGCAUCUAAGUGUGAAACCCACUUCAAGAUGAGAUUUCCCAUUGCGCAAGCAAGUAAGACCCCUUAAAGACGAUAAGGUAGAUAGGUCAGGAGUGUAAGCAUGGUGACAUGUUAAGCGGACUGAUACUAAUAGGUCGAGGGCUUGACCGA